UACGGAGGGGACUAGCGUUGUUCGGAAUUACUGGGCGUAAAGCGCGCGCAGGCGGCCUUUCAAGUCAGUGGUGAAAGCCCGGAGCUCAACUCCGGAACUGCCAUUGAAACUGUUUGGCUUGAGUACGAGAGAGGUGAGUGGAAUUCCCAGUGUAGAGGUGAAAUUCGUAGAUAUUGGGAAGAACACCGGUGGCGAAGGCGGCUCACUGGCUCGUUACUGACGCUCAGGCGCGACAGCGUGGGGAUCAAACAGG
rnacentral:rRNA from 1 species